CAUGCAGUCGAGCGGACAGAUGGGAGCUUGCUCCCUGAUGUUAGCGGCGGACGGGUGAGUAACACGUGGGUAACCUGCCUGUAAGACUGGGAUAACUCCGGGAAACCGGGGCUAAUACCGGAUGCUUGUUUGAACCGCAUGGUUCAGACAUAAAAGGUGGCUUCGGCUACCACUUACAGAUGGACCCGCGGCGCAUUAGCUAGUUGGUGAGGUAACGGCUCACCAAGGCGACGAUGCGUAGCCGACCUGAGAGGGUGAUCGGCCACACUGGGACUGAGACACGGCCCAGACUCCUACGGGAGGCAGCAGUAGGGAAUCUUCCGCAAUGGACGAAAGUCUGACGGAGCAACGCCGCGUGAGUGAUGAAGGUUUUCGGAUCGUAAAGCUCUGUUGUUAGGGAAGAACAAGUGCCGUUCAAAUAGGGCGGCACCUUGACGGUACCUAACCAGAAAGCCACGGCUAACUACGUGCCAGCAGCCGCGGUAAUACGUAGGUGGCAAGCGUUGUCCGGAAUUAUUGGGCGUAAAGGGCUCGCAGGCGGUUUCUUAAGUCUGAUGUGAAAGCCCCCGGCUCAACCGGGGAGGGUCAUUGGAAACUGGGGAACUUGAGUGCAGAAGAGGAGAGUGGAAUUCCACGUGUAGCGGUGAAAUGCGUAGAGAUGUGGAGGAACACCAGUGGCGAAGGCGACUCUCUGGUCUGUAACUGACGCUGAGGAGCGAAAGCGUGGGGAGCGAACAGGAUUAGAUACCCUGGUAGUCCACGCCGUAAACGAUGAGUGCUAAGUGUUAGGGGGUUUCCGCCCCUUAGUGCUGCAGCUAACGCAUUAAGCACUCCGCCUGGGGAGUACGGUCGCAAGACUGAAACUCAAAGGAAUUGACGGGGGCCCGCACAAGCGGUGGAGCAUGUGGUUUAAUUCGAAGCAACGCGAAGAANCNUUACCNGGUCUUGACAUCCUCUGACAAUCCUAGAGAUAGGACGUCCCCUUUCGGGGGCAGANUGACNGNNGNNCAUGNNNNCGNCAGCUCNUGNCNNGAGAUGUUGGGUUAAGU
rnacentral:rRNA from 1 species